rfam:Arabidopsis thaliana chromosome 1, complete sequence.
CAUAGUGAUGAAUUAUAUCACAAUUGUCACUACCUCUGAGGCAUAUUCUUGAUUCGUUUUUUUUUUUUAGAUUUUGGUUUCUAUCACCUUACUUCUUUAGGAGCCUGAUG